rnacentral:rRNA from 1 species
UACGGGAGUGGCAAGCGUUAUCCGGAAUUAUUGGGCGUAAAGCGUCCGCAGGCGGUCUGUCAAGUCUGCUGUUAAAGCGUGGAGCUUAACUCCAUUUCGGCAGUGGAAACUGACAGACUAGAGUGUGGUAGGGGCAGAGGGAAUUCCCGGUGUAGCGGUGAAAUGCGUAGAUAUCGGGAAGAACACCAGUGGCGAAGGCGCUCUGCUGGGCCAUAACUGACGCUCAUGGACGAAAGCCAGGGGAGCGAAAGGGAUUAGAUACCCCUGUAGUCCUGGCCGUAAACGAUGAACACUAGGUGUCGGGGGAAUCGACCCCCUCGGUGUCGUAGCCAACGCGUUAAGUGUUCCGCCUGGGGAGUACGCACGCAAGUGUGAAACUCAAAGGAAUUGACGGGGGCCCGCACAAGCGGUGGAGUAUGUGGUUUAAUUCGAUGCAACGCGAAGAACCUUACCAGGGUUUGACAUCCUGCGAAUCUCUUGGAAACGAGAGAGUGCCUUCGGGAACGCAGUGACAGGUGGUGCAUGGCUGUCGUCAGCUCGUGUCGUGAGAUGUUGGGUUAAGUCCCGCAACGAGCGCAACCCACGUCGUUAGUUGCCAGCAUUUAGUUGGGCACUCUAGCGAGACCGCCGGUGAUAAACCGGAGGAAGGUGUGGAUGACGUCAAGUCAUCAUGCCCCUUACAUCCUGGGCUACACACGUACUACAAUGCUACGGACAAAGGGCAGCAAACUCGCGAGAGCUAGCAAAUCCCAUAAACCGUGGCUCAGUUCAGAUCGUAGGCUGCAACUCGCCUACGUGAAGGAGGAAUCGCUAGUAAUCGCAGGUCAGCAUACUGCGGUGAAUACGUUCCCGGGCCU